AGUCAGGGAGAGAAGAGCGAGGAGAAAGGACUCCAGUGCAAGGGAGCCGGGAGUCAAAGAAAGCAGAGGAAGAAAGGAAAGAUCUGCGAGGCUGCUCAGCAGUGAAAUCCUACUGGCUUUGUGCAAAGGGGAAAGACUCCCUUCUUUCCAGGUGCCAGAGGGACCUGAGCAAGUCUACCGGCCCGGCGCUCCUCCCCACCAGGACCCCAAGGGUGUCUGAGUGCUGACCGCCGCUCCCCCAUCAAUUCCUCGUGGCCAAGAGAGGAAGCGCGCCAGGUCUGCACUGUCCCGACUGAUAAUUUACCUCUUUGUCUUUAAUAAAAAGCUGACUUUUUUGCUGUCAAAAGCUCUGCAACCGGGCAAAAUAAUGAUGAUGAUAAUAAUAAUAAACGUAUUUCAGAUUGAAAGCUCCUAUCAACUGCUAGCUUUCCGAGGCUGCUAUAAAUAUCUUCCUCGACGUGAAGGUACCUUGUGGGCUGGCGUGGUUCGGAAGAGCGGGGACGAGGACCGCCCUCCCCUCCCCCUUGCUCCCUCCCCAGGCGCGGAGACGCAGCGGCAAGGAAGGAGCGGAGGUCAGAGGAAACCUGGGGUUUCCAGGGUUUUCGCGGUCGGGGGAAUGAGCCCUGGGGAGGAGCCUUGCGCCAGCGCCAGCGCGCCCCAACACGCCUCCGACCUCGUAAACCCACUUGGCACAGGCCGGGGAAGCCGCUGGCGGAGCGGCUGCGGUGAACUCCAGAAAUGAACCUGCGGCACGGCGCGACGCCACGGGCUACCACCCUGGCCAACACUCACCUCGAGCGACCGACAUUGAGAGAGCUCCGGACGCGGCCGCAGGGGACCUUGCUCCGCCCUCUCGUCCCAGGAGAAGAGGACAAAAAAGGGGGGGUGGGGGAGAUGGACUUGGAGAUGGCCCCGCCCUUCAAACGCUCCAAUCCUUGGAAACCAAACCUCCUCUCCAAGCUACCACGUCUAGAAGGGACAAAGACUGCCAGGAGAUCCUGGCGCUGAUGGGGAGAUGAUGGCUCCUCGCGCUUCUAGGGAGGGUUGCUUUGGGGUGCUUUUGACUUUACAUCCCAAAUAGGUCACCAAAGAAGGAAUGGAUGAUCUGUAGAGGACAAACUGAACCUUCUGGUAAAGAAGCAAGCUGACUUUCCAAAGCUGAGAAGCAAACAAUUGUAAAACUCCGGCGUAGACUACAAUUUCUAUUCAUGAUGCUACUGUCUCUUUUGGCUUUACUACUUUUAGAAGUUCCAAGUUCCCUAACUCCCCACCUAAAAUAAAUGAAGGACAUAAAGCCUAAAGUGGGGGAAAUUGCACUGUUUGGGGUGGGGGUGGGGCGAAGGUGGGACAUUGAGGGGAAGCCCCGUGGCUGGAGGAUUUGGUGAAUGCCUUAAUAAACUUGGUACUUAAGUAACUGUAAUUAGGUUUUGCCAUUAGCAGGCCAUUUAGAUAAGCAGGAGAAAGUUCACACCUCCUGCUCUUUCACUCCCUACAAAUAUUCACAAAGAUAAUGCAAGCUUGGCUAGUGGGUUGUGUUCUCCAUCAAGAGAGCUGGCAUUUGACUUCUUUCUUUCUCUUUUUUAAUAUAAAAGGGGAAAGUUUAUGUUUAACACACAGGCAUCCAUGUGAAGGAUAUAUCUGAUGGACACACUGACUCUCUGAAAUGUACUGUUUGAUACUAUACCUUAUGCCAUUAUCCCCUGGAGUCAGAUGGGAUUGCAAGACUUUAUUAAUGGUCUAGAGAAUAAGAAUAUGUUGAAAGUCUGGACUUUUCUUCUCCUAUGUCACAAGUGACUGGCACACAGACUCUUCAUAAAGAGAAAUUAUGGCUCAUCAAAAGAGUGACUUUAUGAACAUUAAUAGAAUAAUAAAUCUUGCAAUUUUAGUUCAAGAAGCGGAACUCCUGUAACCGGGGUGACCUGAGCAACUAGGACCUUCAUACUUGCCUGACACUAGGAGGAUGGGGAUAGUCUAUAAAUCAUUUUGCUUAAUAAGGCCUUUUCAAAUAAAAAGAAGACACCCAAUUUCUUAAAGAAAAGUGUUUAUCGAGGGAAAGGGGCUUCUAUUAAUUCUAUAGGAGAGACUUAAACAAAAACUGUUGGGCCACAGUCUAUAUUAAAAAGAAUUUCAACAGAAAUAA
rnacentral:lncRNA from 1 species